AGAAUCAACGCUGGCGGCGUGCCUAACACAUGCAAGUCGCACGAGAAAGGGACUUCGGUCCUGAGUACAGUGGCGCACGGGUGAGUAACACGUGAAUAAUCUACCUCCGAGUGGGGAAUAACUGAGAGAAAUCUUAGCUAAUACCGCAUAACACUUACGAGUCAAAGCAGCAAUGCGCUUGGAGAGGAGUUCGCGGCAGAUUAGUUAGUUGGCGGGGUAAUGGCCCACCAAGACGAUGAUCUGUAUCCGG
rnacentral:rRNA from 1 species